GGGCGUAAAGCGCGCGCAGGUGGUUUCUUAAGUCUGAUGUGAAAGCCCACGGCUCAACCGUGGAGGGUCAUUGGAAACUGGGAGACUUGAGUGCAGAAGAGGAAAGUGGAAUUCCAUGUGUAGCGGUGAAAUGCGUAAAGAUUUGGAGGAACACCAGUGGCGAAGGCGACUUUCUGGUCUGUAACUGACACUGAGGCGCGAAAGCGUGGGGAGCAAACAGGAUUAGAUACCCUGGUAGUGGACCCCGUAAACGAUGAGUGCUAAGUGUUAAAGGGUUUCCGCCCUUUAGUGCUGAAGUUAACGCAUUAAGCACUCCGCCUGGGGAGUACGGCCGCAAGGCUGAAACUCAAAGGAAUUGACGGGGGCCCCCACAAGCGGUGGAGCAUGUGGUUUAUUUCGAAGCAACGCGAAGAACCUUACCAGGUCUUGACAUCCUCUGAAAACCCUAGAGAUAGGGCUUCUCCUUCGGGAACAGAGUGACAGGUGGUGCAUGGUUGUCGUCAGCUCGUGUCGUGAGAUGUUGGGUUAAGUCCCGCAACGAGCGCAACCCUUGAUCUUAGUUGCCAUCAUUCAGUUGGGCACUCUAAGGUGACUGCCGGUGACAAACCGGAGGAAGGUGGGGGAUGACCUCAAAUCAUCAUGCCCC
rnacentral:rRNA from 1 species